CAAACUCACUCUCGUUUCUACUCUCUCUCUGCCUGUGCUGCUGGUGGCCCUGGGAUCCAUAGCUGUUUGGAGCACAGCAACAGGACACAACACGCACCCCCAACACACAGAGCAGUACCACAGACAUGUCAGACUCUGAGAGAGCCGCUGUCCCCCCUGAGACCCGCGUCCCUGCUGCUUGUGCCAACAUCAAGGCUGACCUGGACAAAUGUGUGGCAGGGAAGGGAGCCGAUGGCUGCAAAGAUCUGAUGGAGGCCUUUGCUGCUUGUGUGAAGAAGAAUGCAGCCAAGGGCACAUCAUGAGGGGUCACCCUCCAACCGCAAAUGUCUACUGCACUGAGUCCUUCAGUUCCCAACAUUCCCUCACGCACAACAGCACUGGACUUGAAUGAUGGUGAUGAUGAUGAUCAUGGUGUGAUGAACAUUGUGUUGAUUUGGGCUGAGUUUGGGAUCUGGCAGCAGUAACCACAUUUACCUUACCCCUGUUUUAGGUUUAUCGAUUGUCCCUCAGUCUUACCGCUAUUCCCUUUAUCCUCUAUGGCUGACAUACAGUACAGUGACUUAUAGUUAAUUCCAAUGAGAGCCAAUAGGCUGCAAUGUGAAUUGUAAACUUAAGCUGAAUAUAUAGAAAAUAAAGUAUCAAGUAACUGGUUCCAAAAAC